GGUCAACCGGGGAGGGUCAUUGGAAACUGGGGAACUUGAGUGAGAGGAGGAGAGUGGAAUUCCACGUGUAGCGGUGAAAUGCGUAGAGAUGUGGAGGAACACCAGUGGCGAAGGCGACUCUCUGGUCUGUAACUGACGCUGAGGCGCGAAAGCGUGGGGAGCGAACAGGAUUACAUACCCUGGUAGUCCACGCCGUAAACGAUGAGUGCUAAGUGUUAGAGGGUUUCCGCCCUUUAGUGCUGCAGCAAACGCAUUAACCACUCCGCCUGGGGAGUACGGUCGCAAGACUGAAACUCAAAGGAAUUGACGGGGGCCCGCACAAGCGGUGGAGCAUGUGGUUUAAUUUUAAGCAACGCGAAGAACCUUACCAGGUCUUGACAUCCUCUGGGAGCCCUAGAGAUACGGCCUCCCCUUCGGGGGCAGAGUGACAGGCGGUGCAUGGUUGUCGUCAGCUCGUGUCGUGAGAUGUUGGGUUAAAUCCCGCACCGAGCGCCACCCUUGAUCUUAUUUGCCAGCAUUCUUUUGGGCACUCUAAAGUGACUGCCGGAGAAAACCGGAAGAAGGUGGGGGAUGACUUCCCCUCAUCCCGCCCGCUAUGACCUGCGCUAACACGUGCUACAAGGGGUGGGAACACAG
rnacentral:rRNA from 1 species